rnacentral:snRNA from 1 species
UUGGAAGUUUGAAGAUCUCUCCU